UUAAACUAAAAAAAAGGGUUGAAAAUACUUUCCAUGAUUCAAAUUUUAUAUGGAUUUUCACACUAACCAUUUUUUUUUACUUACUAAAAGAAAUAGAAAAAAUCUCAAUUUAACCUAAAAUUUUGAAAUAAAAAUUUAUACUUGAAAACAUACUAAAAGAAUAACGAAAACAUCAAUUUAAACUUAAAUUUUGAAAUUGUAGCAAUAUAAACCCUAAACUAAUAAUUAUAUCAAAUUCACCUCUGAACAUUUAUAAGAGUAUUGAGAACCUUCAACUUUGACAAUCGUAUCAAUUUAAACCUUCAAAUUAUAAAACGACGGUAGAAGAACCCAAGAAAAACUCGAAGAAGGAGAGAAAAAACUCCUAAAUUUAUGCUUUAUUUGGAUACACUAAUUUUAAAAAUCUAGGGUUUAAUUUAAUAUAACUAUUAAUUUGAGAUUUAAUAUUACAUCCAAUUUUUUCUCAUAAAAGUUUGAAAAAGAUACUCUAACUUUAUUAUUCUUUUUUUAAGAAAAUACUCUUUGUUAUUAUAUAACACAAGCUGCAUACUUUAGUAGGACUUAAAUGUUUAUGGAAGUUAUUUGUUGAUAAUUUAGUUUAGUGUCU
rnacentral:lncRNA from 1 species